UUACCGGCUUGACAUUUACGAAAGUGUUAGCAACAGGUGCUGCAUGGCUGUCGUCAGCUCGUGUCGUGAGAUGUUCGGUUAAGUCCGGCAACGAGCGCAACCCCGUUCCAGUUGCCAGCGUACGGGACUCUGGAAGACAAACCUCUUGUUAGGUGGGAAGGUGGGGACGACGUCAAGUCAGUAUGGCCCUUACGCCGGGCUGCACACGUGCUACAAUGCGGCACAUGGGGCAUCGCGAGAUGAGCAAUCCACAACCGGCCCAGUUCGGAUUGGAGUCUGCAACUCGACUCCAUGAAGUUGGAAUCGCUAGUAAUGGCGAUCAGCAUGCGCCGUGAAUACGUUCCCGGGCCUUGUACACACCGCCCGUCACAUCAUGAAAGCCGGUCGCCGAA
rnacentral:rRNA from 1 species